rnacentral:rRNA from 1 species
ACGGCGAGUGAAGCGGCAAGAGCUCAAAUUUGAAAGCUGGCUCCUUCGGGGUCCGCAUUGUAAUUUGCAGAGGAUGCUUCGGGAGCGGCCCCCAUCUAAGUGCCCUGGAACGGGCCGUCAUAGAGGGUGAGAAUCCCGUCUGGGAUGGGGUGCCCGCGCCCGUGUGAAGCUCCUUCGACGAGUCGAGUUGUUUGGGAAUGCAGCUCUAAAUGGGUGGUAAAUUUCAUCUAAAGCUAAAUACUGGCCGGAGACCGAUAGCGCACAAGUAGAGUGAUCGAAAGAUGAAAAGCACUUUGAAAAGAGAGUUAAACAGCACGUGAAAUUGUUGAAAGGGAAGCGCUUGCGACCAGACUCGCUCGCGGGGUUCAGCCGGCCUUCGGGCCGGUGUACUUCCCCGCGGGCGGGCCAGCGUCGGUUUGGGCGGCCGGUCAAAGGCCCUCGGAAUGUAACGCCCCCCGGGGCGUCUUAUAGCCGAGGGUGCCAUGCGGCCAGCCCGGACCGAGGAACGCGCUUCGGCUCGGACGCUGGCAUAAUGGUCGUAAGCGACCCGU